rnacentral:tRNA from 1 species
GUUGCGAAUGGUGGCGCAACAUGGGUAAAGUCCCCGAGAGGGUUCGAAUCCCUCUUCGCCCACCA